rnacentral:rRNA from 1 species
GGUGGUCAACUGCACGAUUUGUGGAAAAUGCGCCUGCAUUCCCCAGCGCGGAUCGGGUCCAAACUGAGUUGCCACGACGCUACCGUCGGAGAAAUUCGUGGUGACGUUACCGUCUGGUGCAAUAGUCGUCACUGUUUGAUUGCCAUUCGGCAACGUGUUGAUGAGUUGCUGAUCACCGUUCGCAUCACGCUCAACUGCGUACGUGGUUAUACGUCCCAAUGCUGUUGUUCUUGUCACCUGGUAGCCAUUCUGGGUAUCGGUGCGAUCAUAGGUCU